GAUCAGGGAAGAGAAGAUGUCAAGAGAGACCAGGAAGAGGGCAUUGGAGAAAUAGACAGAGUAGUAAAGAGAUGGGUCACAGAAGCCAAGAGGAGAGAGCAUUAGAAAGAGGGAGCAGCUGGCUGGUAGCAUGUCACAUGUUGCCAAGAGGUUAAAUUGGAUGAAGACUAAAAAAAGGCCUUGGGAUUGAGCGAUGAGAAGGUCACCAGGGACCACAAGGACACUUCAUUGCCCUAUUGCAUCAGACACAAAUGAGAGAUGAAGAAGUGGAAGCAGCAAGGACAGACAUACAAGUUCAAGAAAUUUGUAAGCAGGAAGAAAAAAGAACCGUGGAUUAAGUGAGGGGAGGAGGCUUUUAUUUUCUUGUUUUGUCUUGUAGUUUUUAGGGAGUGGAUGCAAACACAGAUGGGAAGGUAAGCUUCAACAGGACACUGCCAAGAGGAAGCAUGAAGAAAGAGAUAAACCCAGAGGCGGAAUGAACCCUUUGGCAGUGGAGAUAUCUGACCAUGGAGAUGGUGAGAAAGCUCAAAUCUAAGUUCUGGGUUUCCCUUGCAUUGAUAGCUGAAGGACUCACAUGUGCAUGGUGAUUGGAGGAACCCAAGAAGUGAGUUUCUAUCCUUUCCCCUACAGAAAUACUGUGGGAGGCAUUGCUCCAGAGGUAGACUCCUGGCACUCCUAUUCCUGCACCUGCAUAAAUACUUCUCUGAGACAGCAGCAAAAGGUCUUUCAUUCCACAGAUACAAAUAUUCCUGGGAGAGGUGACACAUGGAAUCCCUGCAUUUUAAAGCUGAGAAAACUUUAGACUUACCCAAGUUGAGUCAUCUCCUUUAACAGAUGAGGCUACCGAGGCCCAGUAUCUAGUGAGAGAUUAGUGACCACUCAAGGUCACACUGUGAGAUAGCAGCAGAGUGGGGACUUGAACCUGGGUCUCCUGGCAGCAAGUCCAAAAUGUGGUAGCCCUGACAACCUAUUGAGAAGAUUGCCCCUCUAUAUUCCAGGCUGCCAGCCAAGUGGUUCCGCACUUCACAGUAGCUUGCGCGCACCUGUUGUCUUCAUACAGCCCUAGCAAGAAUGACCCCAAAAGGGUUGUUCCUUAAUCUCCAAGCUCCACUUAAAAGUCUCACAACGGGAGUUCUAGGGAGAACAGUAUUUGGAUUCAGGUCGAAUCUCCAGCUCUGGAGUCUGUCCACAUGGAUGUGGUUGUGUCUGACACUUCCUAGCUCAGUGACUUUGAGCAUCUAUUUGAGUCUCAGUCACCUCAUCUGUGAAAUGGGGAUAAAAACAGUAGUGUUGUUGUGAAAUCAUUGAAAUAAUUUGUCAGAGGUGCCUGUCACAGUGCCUGGCAUGCAGUAAGUGCUCACAAGUGGUAGCUGCUACUCCAGUGUUAGAAGCACUGCUGCCUUCACGAAGGACAGGGAGUUCCCGCUGGAAGCACUCAGAGAAUGCUGCCUUCAGGCUGACCCCCAACACUCACAGUCUUCAUGAUAAUCUCAGUGCAGAGCUUCUCUAUAAAGACCUCAAAGCUCCACCAGCCAGCUAGACACUGUGUGACCUGAAUCCUGUCCAGGCCCCUGCCUUGCGGUUGCUGACAUCCAGAUGAAAAGAUCUGGAUUGCCACAUCCUACCUGGUGUUAUCUCUGGCAGUGGCAGGAAAGGAUUGUCUGAUGGGGAAUGGCUCCACAAAAGGUUAAAAUGCCAUCCCCUUCCCCAAAUGUCUGUCCUGGUUUCACUUAAUAACCAAAUGAUUCUGUCAUCCAAGGGUUCAUCUAGAUAAAUGAUUGCAAACAAAUCUUUUAUUUUUAUAAUUGUCCUAUUCAAACAUGUUUAAAGCCUGUAUUCUAGGGAAAGGGAAGCUAUAAAUAUUAACAGUAGUGAGAGAAGCACUGGACUGGGGACAGCAAGAAGAGGGGAAGGGAGGGUGAGGGGAUGGCUUGAAAAUAGAGAAGAAAGUAAAAGCAUGCACACUGAAUGGUGAGACCCCCUCACCCUUCCCCUGCUUAUUUCCAAGAAUGCUGGCAAUCAGGUUCAUAUCCUCCAGCAAAGAGACUAGAGAAUCUUAAUCUGGAAAAUUGAAUCACACUGGAAGAAAGCCAUACAGAUCCUACAGAUACUGACAUUUGGAAGUGUCUCAGUGCAAAAAUCCUGUCAUUGCACAAAUGUACUGUAGCAGUUGGCCUCAACCCCACCAGACUCAACACCUUCUUUUUUGUUGUUGUUUUUUAACAGCUUUAUUGAGGUAUAAUUGAUAUUCAGUAACGUGCUCAUGAUUAAGAUGUGCAAUUUGGAAAUUUUUGACAUAUGCAUGCACUCAUGAAAUGAUCACCAAAAUCAACAUUUAAAAACACAGCCAUUCCCCAGAAGUUUCCUUGUGCCAUUCAUUGCCAGUCUCUGUCCCAGUUUCCAUUCCCAGGCAAUCACUGAUCUUUUGGUCACUAUAGGGUUAGCUUACAUUUUCGAGAAUUUUAUAAAAAUUGAAUUAUAUGUCUUUUUUUUUUUUUUUUUUGAGAUGGAGU
rnacentral:lncRNA from 1 species